rnacentral:rRNA from 1 species
GACGAACGCUGGCGGCGUGCUUAACACAUGCAAGUCGAACGGAAAGGCCCUGCUUUUGUGGGGUGCUCGAGUGGCGAACGGGUGAGUAACACGUGAGUAACCUGCCCUUGACUUUGGGAUAACUUCAGGAAACUGGGGCUAAUACCGGAUAGGAGUUCCUGCUGCAUGGUGGGGGUUGGAAAGUUUCGGCGGUUGGGGAUGGACUCGCGGCUUACCAGCUUGUUGGUGGGGUAGUGGCUUACCAAGGCUUUGACGGGUAGCCGGCCUGAGAGGGUGACCGGCCACAUUGGGACUGAGAUACGGCCCAGACUCCUACGGGAGGCAGCAGUGGGGAAUAUUGCACAAUGGGCGGAAGCCUGAUGCAGCAACGCCGCGUGCGGGAUGACGGCCUUCGGGUUGUAAACCGCUUUCGCCUGUGACGAAGCGUGAGUGACGGUAAUGGGUAAAGAAGCACCGGCUAACUACGUG